UACGGAGGGUGCGAGCGUUAAUCGGAAUUACUGGGCGUAAAGGGCGCGUAGGUGGUUUGGUAAGUCGGUUGUGAAAGCCCCGGGCUUAACCUGGGAAUUGCAUUCGAUACUGCCUGGCUAGAGUAUGGUAGAGGGAAGCGGAAUUCCGGGUGUAGCGGUGAAAUGCGUAGAUAUCCGGAGGAACGCCAGUGGCGAAGGCGGCUUCCUGGACCAAUACUGACACUGAGGCGCGAAAGCGUGGGGAGCAAACAGG
rnacentral:rRNA from 1 species